rnacentral:rRNA from 1 species
UACAGAGGUGGCAAGCGUUGUUCGGAAUUACUGGGCGUAAAGGGCGCGUAGGCGGCCUUGUAAGUCCUGUGUGAAAUCCCCCGGCUCAACUGGGGAACUGCACAGGAGACUGCUUGGCUUGAGUUCGGGAGAGGGAAGCGGAAUUCCGGGUGUAGCGGUGAAAUGCGUAGAUAUCCGGAGGAACACCGGUGGCGAAAGCGGCUUCCUGGACCGACACUGACGCUGAGGCGCGAAAGCCAGGGGAGCAAACGGG